CUACAACAACUCCAACAACAACUACAAAGAAACCUACACAAUUUGACUGGACCACUACGAAAGCUACCACAACUACCACAACAACAACAACACCAGAAGUUUCAAGUCUGCUUGAAAUAUCAACAUUUCUUUCAUCAUCCGCCACAGUACUUCCUACCACAACCUCAACCACAACAACUACAACAACUCCAACCACAACAUCAACAACAAC